AUAAAAUCCUAGAGAGAUAUACUGAGCUAACUACAAUCAAAUAGCUCUGGUAUCUAAGAUACCAGUGUGUGGUAACUUUCUGCAGAAGUUAACUGCUUAAUAGCACUUAAGAAUGCCAAUAAUUAUUACACAGCCUGCUAUCGCAAUUGGUAUUCCUGCAGUCUGGGAAAAGAAGCCAAAACCAAAAUAGGCAUUGAAUCUCAACUAGCGCCACUUUCUUCAAAUAUAAAGUCAACUCAAAUUAGAAAGCAUUAUGGGGAUACCACAGAGAGGGCAGCUGUUCUCCAGCAUGUUCACAGUGCUUUUCUCUGAGGCAGUGAAUCCCAGCUCUGGAUAUGCAGUCUCACACCCGUCCCUCAGUGGGCAGACAUGCAGUAGUGUUCACUUCACUGUGCUGUGUGGACAACCAAAAGUUUGAAUGCUAAAAAUUGCACAGAACAAGGACUACAGCAUAGCAAAAGGAGCCUUAUAAAGACAACGGAUAGAGACAAACAUCUUAUUAAAGCCCUCUCAGACACUGUGGAGGUUGUGGAUCUGUAUCUCCAGUUAAAGAAAAGUGCUCUGAAUCAUCCUGCUGAACAAACCUGUAAAACAAUAACGCUGUCUUCAGCAAUGUGACGAAGGUAUUAAAACUUCACUGUAUUAUGCAGGCUAAGUGUUGACACCAGGAGAAUCACAAACACCUUCUCAAGUUGAUGUAAGGAGGUAAAAGGAAGAAGGAUCAAAUUCACCACAAAUAAUAAUUGAAGAUUUGUACAAGGAGUAGUCUCACAUCUUCCAGCAUCUAAAUUCAAAUCUGUGUUUGAUAAAAGUCUUUUUAAAAUUUUGUUUAAAAAGUAAUUUUUAUACUAACCUAUGUAUCCAUGCUGCUGCACUCUUCAUUUCUGUUCCUAUAUGCAAAAUAUUUAUAGUUGCAAUAACUGUGUUAAUGAAGGAGUAGUGUGCUUUCUAAUGUAGCAACAUAACAGAUUUUGGAAGAGGCCAGCUGCUUUGAUUUGUCUUUAGUUCCACUCCCUGGAGUCAUCUUUCAAACCAGCAAAUCUCUACAGAUUUCAAUAUUACGCUCUAGGAACUAUAUUAUAGCAAGAAUAUUUGCAUAAGUUUUACCUUCUACAAGACAGAUAUUUUUGUGACCUAGGCAGCUUCUGGAUGACUACAGAGUAUGCUGUGAAACACCAAAUGUUCCAGACCACCUACUCUGACAAUGCAGUUGAAAGAGAAGUAUGGGUGUCCACAGAGUCAGAAAAGCAAUUCAUCUUCCACUGAUAAACAGGAGAAAUGAGCAUUUGCUUUAAAGUCGUUGCUUCACUAGGUAGACUAACACAGGUUAGACACUUAAGAUAGCCAGAAUGUAUUCCUUGCUGUAGGUAGGCCAAAAGCUGCAAACAGUCAGAGUGAGGCAUGGAAGAGAGAGGGCAGUUGCUUCUAAGGCUCCCCCCAUUCCAUGACUAUUACCAAGAGAGCAAAAAUCAGUGCUCAGUGAUUGAGUUUGCUUUCCAUUAUCUCCUUUACCUUCCCUUCCAUUAACAGCACCCUUGGAUCUGUUUUCUGUUCACAGUAGUAAUGAAACAUUCUUUUUACUUUCUAUGUGAACACUGACAUUGAAAUGCUCAGACAAAGAUUCUAUUUAUUUUAACAUCUGAAAACUGUGACACUAAUCACAAGGAGUAAAAUAACUUGGGAACACAAAAGUAUAAUACUCAUAACAGGAAGUUUCUUGGAGCAGGAGUGUGAGGAGUCAGCACCCAAACUGAAAAAGUGGGAGAAAAAGACAGAUUUGGAAAAAAUGUAUUUUAAAUUUGAUUUUCCUUGGUUUAUAACAUUUAAGCGAGUUUCAAAUUGGCUAAAUUUUCUUAAAAUAAUAUUGCAACAAAGUAUCUUAUCCUUUCUGCUUAUCCUUCUUCAAAUUCAAAAUUGAAAAGGAUGCCAUCGAACAAUCCAAUAGCUAUUUCCAGGUGUUUUUAGGGCUGUUACAAUGAGGGCAGUUCAAAACUCUUGCUUGUAGUAACAAACAACAUCAUUGUAGCAGUGGUAACAAAUUGCAUUUUGGAACAAUAGGAUCAGACAUAGCAGACAAAUAAGUCACUAGGAAGGCUGUCCCUUACUGAAAUAAGUCUCCCAGAGUGACUGUCAAAUCUCCAUCUUGGGCACUUUGAGGACAGACAGACAAUUAUUCAGUUGCUCGUACACUGUGGUAUCAAGAGUUCAGUUUCAAGCAAGAGAUUUCCACCAACAUUUCCAUGAUGGUAUGAAACAAUUUCAGUCCCUUAUUACUACCCAGAAGUAAUAAUAAUUGCUGUCUAGCACAGGAAAUAACUUGUCACGUACUUAAAAACUGUAGUACUUUUAAGCCUUAGUGCAUUAAAAAUAAUGCUGAAAGAAAAUUAAAAAUACAAAACCAAAACACUGAAUCAUUGGCUUUUGUUGUUUAUAUUUACACCCUUAGUAUUAUUUUAACAGUUUUCUUCGGUGAUACCAUAGAAGUUAUCUUGCUUUGUUCGGAGUGAAAAAAGUCCUUUUAUAAUAAAUGCUUAUUAUAAUGCUGCAAAUGCUGUACAAUCUAUACUUUCAAUCAGCAAGAAAAAGUAGUGUAUAGCAAUAGCCUUUGAAAAUAAAAAAAUCUUGUAAGAAAAUAAAAGACAACUGAAUAGACAAUGGCUCAAAAGUCCAUCUCAUUAUUGUUUUGGCAAGAAUGAUCCUCAUCAACUGAAUACAGCUGACCACUUACUAUCUUGAUAAUUAUCUUUACACAGAUAUAACCUCAGGUUGGAAUUAUAAUAAGAAGUAUAAAAUAAGAAAUUUCUGGGAUCUCUGUUAAUUCAUGAUUGAUUAAAUUGAUUUAUU
rnacentral:lncRNA from 7 species